rnacentral:tRNA from 1 species
GCCGCCCUGGCUCAGUGGUAGAGCACCUCCUUGGUAAGGAGGAGGUCCCGGGUUCAAAUCUCGGGGGCGGCU